GAUCUUCUUGAUGAUCAAUUAGUUGAUCACCUUAAAUGUUUUAGUUUUCCUAUUAGAGAUAGAAGAUACAUAAUCUAGAAAACUUCACCACUUAUCUGUUGAUUGAUUUCAUUGGAAGUGCAAUUGUCAAUAAUCGUUAUGUAGAAUUUAUCUUGAUAGAGGACUGGAAUAGAUGAUUGUACACACGUUUCAACUUCAUCUGCAACAUCAAAAAAAGAGAGUUUCCAGCUGAGUAGGACAACUAAAGGGAUCUUGUUCAUGUUCAUCUUGUUUGUAUACCAGUCGCUUUUGACAGCGCUGAAUCGUUGUAAGUAGUUUAUUUAGUUUAUUUUUUAUUUUACGAAAUAUCAUAUUCCAUGGUUGUGUUAUAGCUAAGACUACAGGUCCUAUGCAAAAUAUAUGAUAGGCAACUACGUGUACAUAUUUAAGUUCUUGGGAAUCCUUGUUUCGUUCCUUUUGAAUGUUCCUUUUGAAUAAUUCUCUACACGUGUGACCAUUACAAAAUUGCGAUCUUGGCCUUAUUUCAUUCAGGUUUUUUUGUGUA